rnacentral:rRNA from 1 species
UACAGAGGGUGCGAGCGUUGUCCGGAAUCACUGGGCGUAAAGCGCACGUAGGCGGCUUCUUAAGUCAGGGGUGAAAUCCCAGGGCUCAACCCUGGAACUGCCUUUGAUACUGACGAUCUGGAGAUCGGGAGAGGUUGGUGGAAUUCCGAGUGUAGAGGUGAAAUUCGUAGAUAUUCGGAGGAACACCAGAAGCGAAGGCGGCCAACUGGCCCGAUACUGACGCUGAGGCGCGAAAGCGUGGGGAGCAAACAGG